rnacentral:siRNA from 1 species
UAGAUUGUUCCCUAUAGUGGCCCA